GGUACAACUCUCGAUAGUGGAUAUCUCAACCCUUGCAUCGAGGAAGAAUGUAGCAAAAUGCGAUAUGUGGUGUGGAUUGCAGAAUCUCAUGAGCCAUCAAGUCUUUCAAUGCAAGUUGCACCCGAGGCCAUCCGAUUGAGGGCAUGCCUGCCUGGGCAUCAUGC
rnacentral:rRNA from 1 species